GAAAGCCAAGGGCGACAAUGGCAAGGAAAAACUCCCUAGAGCAUGAGGAAGAAACCUUGAGAGGAACCAAGACUCCAAAGGGGGGCCAUCCUCUGGAGGACAACAGUAACAAUUUAAAGAGAUGAGAUAUAAUAAAAUGGAAAAAUAAGCCAUUAAUGUCUAGUUCGGUUUUCUAGAAGUCCUAGUCUUGUCCCGAAGGUGUACGCGUGUCCGAAACACAUCCCGCAAGAGAACAUCCAUCAAAAGCAACGGAGAAGUAGUUGGCUGGGGUAGAGGUGUGGUGGGCUACAGCAGGGGACAUCAGGGGGUGGUGAGAGUAGCCCUACAGAUUAUGAGUGGUUCUUUGGCAGUACUGACAAAAAGGGACAUUGGAUCUGAAUGUGUUCAUCCCUUACAGUUCUGGAGUAGCCCUUCAGUGAUGAUUACUGUCAGGAAAUGCUCCAGAUAACCUAAACUCCAACUAGAGCUGCAUUCACAACAACCAGUUACACUGCCCCAUGUGUCAUUGUAGAAAUGGGUUUUGUUUCGUAACACGUUUGCUUUGUUAUCCACGAUUGCCUGUAAAUACAUAGUUUAAAUGUCCAGAAUUCCAUAAUUACAUGAGUUAUGUGCGUGUAAAACACUUGGUCCAGAUCUGUGUGGUUGGUGUCUCUCUGGUGAGCUCUGGACUCCAUGAGGUGCCCUGAAUGUCAGAUGGAUAUUAUCAAAGGAAAAGCAGGUUUUCAUAACAGACAAAAUGGAAUUUAAAGUAUGAGGAAUUCUCUAGGUGUGUGUUAGAAUGACAUCAAAGAGAUCAACUAUAAUUACUUCAUUUAUGCACUUGUCUAGUCAGGAAAAGACUUUCCACUGCUAAAUAUAUGGGAAGUACAGGGAACUGGAAAAAAUCUCACUGAAGUACAGGGGCAUAUACUAAUGUAAAGAAGCCCUGUCAUGUCACACUUCUCCUUGAGCUUCCGACCACGAGAAAAACAGACAACAUCGACCACGUCACCCUUAGUAAAUGCAUAGAGAAGACGCUGGGAGUGGUGCACAGAAUGGGUAGACUGAAGAAUGUGGACUAUGCAGUCACAGCAUGGCUAGAUGAAUACAUACUUUGCAGUGCAUGGGAUCCCAAAGAUCCCAACCCAGUUAAACUAAACAACUAGACUGGGAAAACUUGAAAGGGUAAGAUAAACAGCACCCUCUGGUGGAUGUGGUUGGGUAACAUGUGAAGUGUGUUACACAGGAAAAAGUGAAACAAAUAAACAGGAUUUUUUUUGUGUAACAAAGAUGUUUUGUGCCAGUGUAUUAGUAGUGGAGGAAAAUGUGAAAUGUCCUACAAUUUGGAGUUAGGAUGAGAGAAUCUAGGCUACAGUAGUAUAGUGCAGUUUGUUCUGUAAAUAUGCAGAAUAUUUUAAAAGGAAAUACCAGAGAUGACAGUCCUCCUGCAUCGCAUGGCUAUGACAUGCAGUUUAUCCACUCAUCGGUUAGUUUAUCAUGCUCUCACCUUCACAGGUAAUAAAAAAGGGGGAAAAAUGAUUUGAAGGCAAUGGGAACCAUACAACACGUCCUGUUUCGGGGUCACAGUUUCCACAGGGAUCCAAUCAGCUCACUUACAUCCCCAAAACUAGUAACAAUCAACCAUCGGACCAGCAGACUAAUGGCUCGCAUGGGAUCUGAUGGGGCCAGUAGCUGGGGGAGACUGGAUGUAAAGGUAUUCCAGUGUUGAGGACAGCAGGUGGGGAAGACUGGAUGUGAAGGUAUUCCAGUGUUGAGGAUAGUAGGUGGGGGGAAGAUUGGAUGUGAAGGUAUUCCAGUGUUAAGGACAGUAACUGGGGAAGACAGGAUGUGAAGGUAUUCCAGUGUUGAGGACAGUAGGUGGGGAAGACUGGAUGUGAAGGUAUUCCAGUGUUGAGGAUAGUAGGUGGGGGGAAGACUGGAUGUGAAGGUAUUCCAGUGUUAAGGACAGUAACUGGGGAAGACUGGAUGUGAAGGUAUUCCAGUGUUGAGGACAGUAGGUGGGGAAGAUUGGAUGUGAAGGUAUUCCAGUGUUAAGGACAGUAACUGGGGAAGACUGGAUGUGAAGGUAUUCCAGUGUUGAGGACAGUAGCUGGGGAAGACUGGAUGUGACGGUAUGAGCUAUGGGAUCAUUUACGACAUCCUGGGUGUGAGUUUUCCUGGGAUCCUGGCUGGAAAUUCAACAUGUUUGGGUGCACAUUGUCUCCGAGUGCUGUGUCGGGGUGACGUUAGAUGAUGUGGGUAUGGAUGCAAUCAAAUGUCUGUUAAAUAAAAAUAAUUAAUAAAUAAAAAAGAUCUGCAUUGUAAUCAUAGUGGGAUUUAAAUGAAAACUACAGUAAGAGUCGUGUAGGACUGGUAUUGUCAUUGUUUAUUUUUAGUUUUAGUAUCAUUUUACCAUUGAAAACUGCCUUUUUUCACCCUUAAACAGGUGAGGGAAGUUUGAGUAAUUUGAGAGUUUGGAGAGUUUAGCCCGCCAAAUCUGCCUCUGUCCGUUCAGUGCACUUUAUAUGUGUUGUUUUUACUUUUCACUUUGUUAAAGGUUUUGCUGUAAAAUCUUAAAGGAACCCUUGUUACGAACAUAAUGUGUUAUAUUAGUCGUAAGGUGUUAAAGCAAAUGGUUAGGCUCCAGUUGGGUUGUUCGCGCAGCUGUCCACAUAGUAACUAGCUAGUUAGCUAACUUAGCUAACUCUAUAAAGUACCUAGCUAUAUGUAUAAAAUACUCAGCUAACUACAAAACAUAGAGCUAAAUCCGUACAAUACCUAGCUAUCUCUCUAAAAAUACUAAGCUAACUACAAAACACCGAGCUAAAUAUGCACAAUACCCAGCUACCUCUUUUAUAGAGAUAGCUAAAUUUAUACAAUUCUUGUCUAUCUCUAUAAAAUACUCAGCUAACUAAAAAACACCAAGCUAAAUCUAUACAAUAUCUAGCUAUAACAUAUCUAUGUUUACGAUGUUUGUGUACUAUGUAAAAAUACCUAUGUUUACUUUGCACUUUACCAUCCUAACUACUGUUUCUUUAGCUAAGAUGGCUGUACUUUUACAUACAUUUUGUACUUUUUAUCCUUUUAAAUCAAUACUUAUACUUUUAGCUGUCUAGGCUAUGCAUCUGUAGUGGAUAGUGGAACAUACAGCUAGCUAGGUUAGUUGAGCAGGACAGUAGACAAAUGUGGACAUUGAAACUGCUUGUGAUUUAGCACGCUAGCUAGCUAGAAGGAUUUAACAAUUUCAAACGAAAGUGAUAAUAAGCUUUUAAUAAAUUAACUAGUUUUUCGUGGCAUUUGCUAGUUACCCAUGUCAAGCUGUCUAGAUCUAAUCAUUCUUUGUUAUUGCGCUUAACUACACUUUUGAAGAAUACCUGCUCUUACAUAUUCACAGAAAAAGAAAAAAGAUUUUGGAAUUUACAUCUUAAUCUUUUUCCUUUUAGUCUUUCUUUCCCACAGAAGUAUAUGGAUAUGACAUUAAUAAGUUUAUUUGCCUGCCCCUCUGACCCAAUCCAAAAACUGCUAAAGAAACUAGACCGUUUGCACUGUGUCAUAGUCCACCGUAAUAAAAGAUGUGUGGGUUAUAGAUAGUAGCUACACAAAUAAUCAGUGCAAACUAUUUAUAUGAAUUGGUCAGUUUGUUACCGUGUUAUUUUAAAGGGGGCAUUUAUCUAAUCCUCUGACGCACUCACAGACACUGACUCCUUCGGCAGGUCACCUGUGUUGGCAUGCUACUGGAGUAUGACCUCAAAUCGGUGGCCUUUCUUUGGCAUUUCCAAAGAUGAAUACGCAGCGUGAUCAGAGAAGCUGCGGGGCUUGCCAAAACUGAAGUCAUCCUUGUCUUGCCCUGGCAACUGCUUUCGGCAAAUGCCAAGUGAUCUUAUUUUAUGGGGUACUUAAGCCAGCGCCUUGGAACUUUUUUAGAGGGUCCCUUUGUGAGUGUCCGGGUCUGACAGAGAGGUUUUGGAACAGAAAGGCCCAACGUUGUUAACAUCCUUGGUGCUGAACUUCUUACGCCUCUCUGGGCAGCUAAAACAAAGCCUAGUAGUUGUAUGUUGUUGCUCUUAUUAAAGCUUGUUUUUAAUCAUGAAAUUAUGCAUUACAUAUUCACUAAUCUCUGAAUUUGCAUUGUGAUUGGUUAUUUCCCACUUCUCUGCCAGUAGCAUGCACCCUCACCUUCAUAUCUGUUCAGAUCCAGAUUGUUUGUUUGUUUUUGCAGCAAAGUGGGUGGUGCUCUGCAGCGCUGACCUCUCAUUUGCACACUGUUCGAAUCUUAAUAUUAAUUUGCAUGAGUAUCUGAUAGGAAAGACUAUACUUGGCAUGCAAAUUCAUUGUAAAUGUAGCAGUCAACGAAGACUAGUACAGUCCAGCUUAGAAAACGUCUGAGCAAAGGUGUUGGUGGUGGUGAACCACUCAAAUAGAAAGCAGCAUGGAGGAAGCGUCUGGCGCUGCUGCUUCUCUUUGCCUGGCUGGCGUGGAUCGGCUGCUGGUGUAGAGCCACUGGGCCGGAGCCUGAAAUCGUCACGGCCUGAGGAGUUUGCGAACCGACGAGCCAAAGGCACGGUGGCAACAUGGCUUCCCGGCGGCGAGAGGGAGACAGCGCUUCUGUGCGGACAGCACCUCCAUUUUAGAGCAGCACUCCUGGCGCAGAGAACAGAGCAUGGGAGUGUUCCGUAAUCCUGUGGCUGCCUCGUGUGCCUCGCUAUGCCACCUUUUGGAAACGGAAAAAGAUGACGAGGCAAGAGACGUGGGCCGGCGCGGGCUUGACCCCUCCACUCCUCUCCCGCUCAUGGGACGGGUGAACGCCGUGGUCCCUGCUCAGUCUCCCAGGGCCAGAGCAGACGUGUUUGUACCCUGGGAUGAGGUAGUAGGUUGUAUAGCUUUAGGGUCACACCCACGCUGGGCGAUAACUAUACAGCCUACUGUCUUUCUCAGGGGCACAAGGGAAGCAGCUCAGCGUUCACAUUGGGAUAAUAACAAUAACAUUGUAACAUAUAUGUUAAAUGCAUUUCAUAAUGAUGGGUGUUUAGACAGAAUAUUAGCGUAAGUGGAUAUUUGUCCUUACUAGUUCAGUGUUUUGUUAGAUUACGCUUUCACAGUGUGAGGUAGUAGAUUGUAUAGUUGUGGGAUAGUGAUGUUAUCCUGUGUUGAAGAUAACUAUACAAUCUACUGCCUUCCCUGAGAGGCUGAGGUGCACAUUCAGAUCACUUCAGAAAGCAUUUUAGACUAUGCAGAGAUUCUGAAUUUUAUAUUUGAUAUUGUAUAUUUUAUAUAUAUAUAUCUCAGUUCUCAGUGUGUGUCUGACCUGUGGCUGUCUCUAAUGUACCUGCUAACAUGUCUUAAGUAAACAGAUAGAUCUUUGUGUAAUCUUGAAUUUGCCUGUCAGUUUUGUAUUGCCUGCCAAAAUUUAAACGCACUUUAUAUAUAAAGAAUUGGAAUUCGACUUUACUGAAGGCUUUGAACUUUAUUUCUUUAUUCUUCAAGAUGUCAAAGAAACAUUUAUGAACGUGUCCUAUGCAACAUUCAAAUGCAACAGGUUGCCUAAUAAAAAGUAAGCGUUUUCCCCCUUCCA